GACGAACGCUGGCGGCGUGCCUAAUACAUGCAAGUUGAGCGCUGAAGGUUGGUCCUUGUACCAACUGGAUGAGCAGCGAACGGGUGAGUAACGCGUGGGGAAUCUGCCUUUGAGCGGGGGACAACAUUUGGAAACGAAUGCUAAUACCGCAUAAAAACUUUAAACACAAGUUUUAAGUUUGAAAGAUGCAAUUGCAUCACUCAAAGAUGAUCCCGCGUUGUAUUAGCUAGUUGGUGAGGUAAAGGCUCACCAAGGCGAUGAUACAUAGCCGACCUGAGAGGGUGAUCGGCCACAUUGGGACUGAGACGCGGCCCAAACUCCUACGGGAGGCAGCAGUAGGGAAUCUUCGGCAAUGGACGAAAGUCUGACCGAGCAACGCCGCGUGAGUGAAGAAGGUUUUCGGAUCGUAAAACUCUGUUGGUAGAGAAGAACGUUGGUGAGAGUGGAAAGCUCAUCAAGUGACGGUAACUACCCAGAAAGGGACGGCUAACUACGUG
rnacentral:rRNA from 1 species